UACGGGGGGAGCAAACGUUGUUCGGAAUCACUGGGCGUAAAGCGCACGUAGGCGGCUUCUUAAGUCAGGGGUGAAAUCCUGGAGCUCAACUCCAGAACUGCCUUUGAUACUGGCGAUCUUGAGUCCGGGAGAGGUGAGUGGAACUGCGAGUGUAGAGGUGAAAUUCGUAGAUAUUCGCAAGAACACCAGUGGCGAAGGCGGCUCACUGGCCCGGUACUGACGCUGAGGUGCGAAAGCGUGGGGAGCAAACAGG
rnacentral:rRNA from 1 species